rnacentral:rRNA from 1 species
GAUGAACGCUGGCGGCGUGCUUAACACAUGCAAGUCGAACGAUGAAGCCCAGCUUGCUGGGUGGAUUAGUGGCGAACGGGUGAGUAACACGUGAGUAACCUGCCCUUGACUCUGGGAUAAGCGCUGGAAACGGCGUCUAAUACCGGAUACGAGCUUCCACCGCAUGGUGAGUUGCUGGAAAGAAUUUCGGUCAAGGAUGGACUCGCGGCCUAUCAGGUAGUUGGUGAGGUAACGGCUCACCAAGCCGACGACGGGUAGCCGGCCUGAGAGGGUGACUGGCCACACUGGGACUGAGACACGGCCCAGACUCCUACGGGAGGCAGCAGUGGGGAAUAUUGCACAAUGGGCGCAAGCCUGAUGCAGCAACGCCGCGUGAGGGACGAAGGCCUUCGGGUCGUAAACCUCUUUUAGCAGGGAAGAAGCGAAAGUGACGGUACCUGCAGAAAAAGCACCGGCUAACUACGUG